rnacentral:rRNA from 1 species
AUUGAACGCUGGCGGCAGGCUUAACACAUGCAAGUCGAGCGGAGAUGAGGUGCUUGCACCUUAUCUUAGCGGCGGACGGGUGAGUAAUGCUUAGGAAUCUGCCUAUUAGUGGGGGACAACAUUCCGAAAGGAAUGCUAAUACCGCAUACGUCCUACGGGAGAAAGCAGGGGAUCUUCGGACCUUGCGCUAAUAGAUGAGCCUAAGUCGGAUUAGCUAGUUGGUGGGGUAAAGGCCUACCAAGGCGACGAUCUGUAGCGGGUCUGAGAGGAUGAUCCGCCACACUGGGACUGAGACACGGCCCAGACUCCUACGGGAGGCAGCAGUGGGGAAUAUUGGACAAUGGGGGGAACCCUGAUCCAGCCAUGCCGCGUGUGUGAAGAAGGCCUUAUGGUCGUAAAGCACUUUAAGCGAGGAGGAGGCUACUGAGACUAAUACUCUUGGAUAGUGGACGUUACUCGCAGAAUAAGCACCGGCCAACUCUGUGCCAGCAGCCGCAGUAA